GCCCAGGUAGCUCAGUCGGUAGAGCAGUGGACUGAAAAUCCUCGUGUCGGUGGUUCGAUUCCGCCCCUGGGCACCA
rnacentral:tRNA from 5 species